rnacentral:rRNA from 1 species
CGAACGGAGAAUUGCUAGCUUGCUAAUAAUUCUCUAGUGGCGCACGGGUGAGUAACACGUGAGUACCUGCCCCCAAGAGUGGGAUAGCCCCGGGAAACUGGGAUUAAUACCGCAUAAAGCAAUAAAGCAGCAAUGCGCUUGGGGAUGGGCUCGCGUCCUAUUAGUUAGUUGGUGAGGUAACGGCUCACCAAGGCGAUGACGGGUAGCCGGUCUGAGAGGAUGUCCGGCCACACUGGAACUGAGACACGGUCCAGACACCUACGGGUGGCAGCAGUCGAGAAUCAUUCACAAUGGGGGAAACCCUGAUGGUGCGACGCCGCGUGGGGGAUAAGGUCUUCGGAUUGUAAACCCCUGUCAUGUGGGACAUUAAAAGAUAGUACCACAAGAGGAAGAGACGGCUAACUCUGUGCCAGCAGCCGCGGUAAUACAGAGGUCUCAAGCGUUGUUCGGAAUCACUGGGCGUAAAGCGUGCGUAGGCGGUUUCGUAAGUCGUGUGUGAAAGGCGGGGGCUCAACCCCCGGACUGCACAUGAUACUGCGAGACUAGAGUAAUGGAGGGGGAACCGGAAUUCUCGGUGUAGCAGUGAAAUGCGUAGAUAUCGAGAGGAACACUCGUGGCGAAGGCGGGUUCCUGGACAUUAACUGACGCUGAGGCACGAAGGCCAGGGGAGCGAAAG